GCUCGGGGGCCGACCCGGGGCAUGGCGGCA
rnacentral:sRNA from 1 species